rnacentral:rRNA from 1 species
UACGGAGGGCGCGAGCGUUGUCCGGAAUCACUGGGCGUAAAGGGCGCGUAGGCGGCCCUGGUAAGUCUGCGGUGAAAGCCCGGGGCUCAACCCCGGGUCGGCCGCGGGUACUGCCGGGCUGGAGUGCCGUAGGGGCAGGCGGAAUUCCGGGUGUAGCGGUGGAAUGCGUAGAGAUCCGGAGGAACACCAGCGGCGAAGGCGGCAUCCUGGACUGGUCCUGACACUCAGGAGCGAAAGCGUGGGGAGCGAUCCGG